AGUGAACGCUGGCGGUAGGCCUAACACAUGCAAGUCGAACGGCAGCACAGUAAUAGCUUGCUCUUACGGGUGGCGAGUGGCGGACGGGUGAGGAAUACAUCGGAAUCUACUUUUUCGUGGGGGAUAACGUAGGGAAACUUACGCUAAUACCGCAUACGACCUACGGGUGAAAGCAGGGGAUCUUCGGACCUUGCGCGAUUGAAUGAGCCGAUGUCGGAUUAGCUAGUUGGCGGGGUAAAGGCCCACCAAGGCGACGAUCCGUAGCUGGUCUGAGAGGAUGAUCAGCCACACUGGAACUGAGACACGGUCCAGACUCCUACGGGAGGCAGCAGUGGGGAAUAUUGGACAAUGGGCGCAAGCCUGAUCCAGCCAUACCGCGUGGGUGAAGAAGGCCUUCGGGUUGUAAAGCCCUUUUGUUGGGAAAGAAAAGCAGCAGGUUAAUACCCCGCUGUUCUGACGGUACCCAAAGAACAAGCACCGGCUAACUUCGUG
rnacentral:rRNA from 1 species